rnacentral:rRNA from 1 species
CCAUGCAAGUCGAGCGGAAACGACACUAACAAUCCUUCGGGUGCGUUAAUGGGCGUCGAGCGGCGGACGGGUGAGUAAUGCCUAGGAAAUUGCCUUGAUGUGGGGGAUAACCAUUGGAAACGAUGGCUAAUACCGCAUAAUGCCUACGGGCCAAAGAGGGGGACCUUCGGGCCUCUCGCGUCAAGAUAUGCCUAGGUGGGAUUAGCUAGUUGGUGAGGUAAUGGCUCACCAAGGCGACGAUCCCUAGCUGGUCUGAGAGGAUGAUCAGCCACACUGGAACUGAGACACGGUCCAGACUCCUACGGGAGGCAGCAGUGGGGAAUAUUGCACAAUGGGCGAAAGCCUGAUGCAGCCAUGCCGCGUGUAUGAAGAAGGCCUUCGGGUUGUAAAGUACUUUCAGUUGUGAGGAAGGGUGUGUAGUUAAUAGCUGCGCAUCUUGACGUUAGCAACAGAAGAAGCACCGGCUAACUCCGUGCCAGCAGCCGCGGUAAUACGGAGGGUGCGAGCGUUAAUCGGAAUUACUGGGCGUAAAGCGCAUGC